rnacentral:rRNA from 1 species
GACGAACGCUGGCGGCGUGCUUAACACAUGCAAGUCGAACGGAAAGGCCCUGCUUUUGUGGGGUGCUCGAGUGGCGAACGGGUGAGUAACACGUGAGUAACCUGCCCUUGACUUUGGGAUAACUUCAGGAAACUGGGGCUAAUACCGGAUAGGAGCUCCUGCUGCAUGGUGGGGGUUGGAAAGUUUCGGCGGUUGGGGAUGGACUCGCGGCUUAUCAGCUUGUUGGUGGGGUAGUGGCUUACCAAGGCUUUGACGGGUAGCCGGCCUGAGAGGGUGACCGGGGAGAUGGAGGUGUAGAGACGGCAGAGAGAGAUGCGGGAGGGAGCAGUGGGGAAUCUGAGACAGUGGGGGGGGCCUGAGGGACCAGCGGCUGCGGGCGCGAAGGCGCCGGUGGGAUUGAGACCCGCGAGCGAGUGGGACGAAGCGGGGGUGACGGAAAAGAAUAAAGAAGCAAGGGCAAACCACGCGCCAGAAGGCGCGGUAAUAAACGGAAGAGAAAACGCACGACC